AACGAACGCUGGCGGCAGGCCUAACACAUGCAAGUCGAGCGAGCAUUUCGGUGCUAGCGGCGGACGGGUGAGUAACGCGUGGGAACGUGCCCUUUUCUGCGGAAUAGUCCUGGGAAACUGGGGGUAAUACCGCAUACGCCCUUUUGGGGAAAGAUUUAUCGUAGAAGGAUCGGCCCGCGUUGGCUUAGGUAGUUGGUGGGGUAAUGGCCCACCAAGCCGACGAUCCAUAGCUGGUUUGAGAGGAUGAUCAGCCACACUGGGACUGAGACACGGCCCAGACUCCUACGGGAGGCAGCAGUGGGGAAUCUUAGACAAUGGGGGCAACCCUGAUCUAGCCAUGCCGCGUGAGUGAUGAAGGCCUUAGGGUAGUAAAGCUCGUUCAGCUGCGAAGAUAAUGACGGUACCAGAAGAAGAAGCCCCGGCUAACUCCGUG
rnacentral:rRNA from 1 species